UCCCUGGUGGCUCAGAUGGUAAAGCAUCUGCCUGCAAUGCAGGAGACCCAGGUUCAGUGCCUUGGUGGGGAA
rfam:TPA: Bos taurus chromosome 25, whole genome shotgun sequence.